UAUUUAAACAGUAAGGCUUGCAAGAGCGGUUUCAAUGACGCCGAAGAAUUGCUGCCUUUGUGCUAUAAAUGUUCAAAUUAUAGUCAACAUUUAAAUGGAAACUCUUGCCCCACUUGCAAACAGUAUUAUAUAUUUUCUUUUAUAUCAUUUGAAAUUUUAACGUUAGUGCAAUUCUAUCCUGAGAUUGAUAUUAGUGAUACUGAAGCGGAGAGAUUGUUAUUAGCUCCGCCAAAAGCCAGUGAAGAUCAAGAUCAAUUUAAUGAGGAUGUUGCCAGUGCGUUGCCGUUAAGUUUAGAUCGGAAUGCUUUACGAGCUAUAGAUCCUAAUCAUGUGCUGGUUUUAAAACGCCGUAAUAAGCCAAGCAGCAAAUUUGUGUAUUAUCGCAAUAUAUUACCUGAUCUACAAAUAACCUA